UUUUUUUCUUGAUAAAAGUUGUAUGUUGUUGAUGAUUUUGUUUUUCUUGAUAAAAGUUGUAUGUUGUUGAUAAGGUAUGUUGUCGAUAAGGUAUGUUGUUGAUAAAAUUUCUCAGUUUUCGAUGAUUUUGUUUUUGUUAAUAAAAAUACUAUGUUGUUUAGGGUAUGUUGUUGAUGAUGAUAAAAGUUGUAUGUUGUUG
rnacentral:lncRNA from 1 species